rnacentral:rRNA from 1 species
UACGUAGGUGACAAGCGUUGUCCGGAUUUACUGGGCGUAAAGAGCUCGCAGGCGGUCGUUCAAGUCGAGUGUGAAAGCCCCCGGCUCAACUGGGGAGGGUCACUCGAUACUGAUCGACUCGAAGGCAGGAGAGGGAAGUGGAAUUCCCGGUGUAGUGGUGAAAUGCGUAGAUAUCGGGAGGAACACCAGUGGCGAAGGCGACUUCCUGGCCUGUUCUUGACGCUGAGGCGCGAAAGCUAGGGGAGCAAACGGG